GUCGUUUCGCAUUUACCCGUCAACACAAGGAGUCAUUUUGAACUCAAACAAAAUAAAAUACGGGUGGGAAAUUCGGUGGUACGCUCCAUCCAAUACAGUUAAUCUUCUCCUGAGAGAUUUUAUUCCUUAGCGUGAAAACGCAUGGGCGACGUUACAAGAGAUAUACACGGAGAUUUCGGGCUGUAACAGGCUUGCUUCGUAUGGGAAUGGCGUCGUGGAUGGUUGGCUGUAGGACUAUGUCUACAAGCUAUUUAGUGCAAUAUGCGAACUUGAACUCCAUGUUCAAGCACCCGAUACCGAUCAUCGAU
rnacentral:RNase_P_RNA from 2 species